AUUGAACGCUAGCGGCAUGCUUUACACAUGCAAGUCGAACGAGUGGCGGACGGGUGAGUAAUAUAUCGGAACGUGCCCAGUCGCGGGGGGUAACUACUCGAAAGCGUGGCUAAUACCGCCUACUAUACGAGCAGCCGAUAUCGGAUUAGCUAGUUGGUGGGGUAAAGGCUCACCAAGGGAACGAUCCGUAGCUGGUUGGAGGGGACGACGAGCCACACGGGGACUGGUACACGGCCCAGACUCCUACGGGGGGCAGCAGUGGGGAAUUUUGGACAAUGGGGGAAACCCGGAUCCAGCCAUCCCGCGUGUAUGAGAAGGCCUUCGGGUUGUAAAGUACUUUUGGCAGAGAAGCGGUAUCUGAAUAAUAAGCACCGGCUAACUACGUGCCAGCAGCCGCGGUAAUAC
rnacentral:rRNA from 1 species